rnacentral:lncRNA from 1 species
ACUGCCGCUCUGCAGAAAAUAUGACUUAGAAAACGAAGAUUUGGGGUAAAUAUACAAAUUGUUUGUAAAUAUGGCACAUUUAACUACUUCUGUUGUAUUCACAGGGUAAAGAGUGGCUGUGUCUGAACUGUCAGAUGCAGCGCGCAAUGGGAGGAAUGGACCCCCCUGGCCUGGCGAAACCCAAGCAGGGUUCGGCUCCGCCCUCUCCCCAACGGCAGGCGUCUGGCAAGCCCGGAAAACUCCUGAUAAAGCAGCAGAGCACCAGUGACCAAGGGUUAACUCCGCCCACCACCCCCAGGCAGAAAUCUCCAGGCGCUUCGUCGCCAGGACCUUCUUCCCCGGGGUCCUCCCUGGCAGGUCUCCCCAAAAAUUGACCCAAAGACUGGUCGCCCCCUCCAGCCAAAAUCCAGUCCCCAGCAGUCUCCUGCUAAAGCCAAACAGGAAACUAGCUUCUUUGGGGGGUUGGGGGGUCUGAGUCUCGGAGGCCUCACAGACGCGGCCAAACCUCCUGCCGCUGCUUCGGAGUCGGUUACAGGGAAACUGUUUGGUGGAUUUGGUGGAUUAAUGGACUCGUCGAAGCCUCAAGCGCAGGGCGCGCCCAAACAGGAGGAGUCCGUCGCUGGGAAAUUGUUUGGGGGUUUCGGAGGCCUGACGGAAACCGCUAAACCUCCCGCCGCUGCAUCUCAAAUGUUCAGCUUCGGGUCAUCUCUCCUGAACUCGGCCACCAACCUCGUCUCCGGAGAGGACGAUAAAGAACCCGAAUCUCCUCCGGGAUCGCCUCCGGACUCUCCGUUCUCCGCCCCCGGGUCCCCACCAGAUUCAGACUCCGCCCCUGACACCCCACCCGCCAAGUCCAAGAAGCCUCUCAGAACCACUUCGACCGAGGCGGAGGAGAAAGCCCCGGCAGACAAGCCGGGUCCUCCUCCGGCCACGGCAGCCAAGGGAAACUGUCCUCGCUGCAACGUGGAUCUGAACACGGGAACAGACGGCGCGCCCAACUACAAUCUGUGCACCGAGUGCAAGAAGGACGUGUGCAACCUGUGUGGAUUCAACCCCGCUCGCUACUCAUUUAGGAGAGAAAGAAUGGCUUUGUCUGA